ensembl:lncRNA
UGAAGAUAAACCCCUUGGGCUCUCUACCAUCAGUCCAGUGGAGGGCGAUACGACGGUUACUGUCACAUUUACAGCUUCUGAAGCUACAGAUGAGAAAGAGAAUCCAGACAGAACGGAAGAAAACACAAUGGUACCAUCCCGUGAUUAUGUGCCAGAGACCACAGAGACUCCUGCUGACCAAGAUGUUGAUUUACAGGAGGAAGUUCCAGAUGGAAAUAACAUAAGCCAUGGUCUUCCUGCUCCAAGAGGUCGGAUGGGACCAAAAGAAACUGAAUCGGAUGCCAUACCAACCCCAGCAGCUCAAGAGCAGAAUGGCACACCUGCUUGGCUGAUAAUCUUCUCAUUUGUCUUGGUUGUCGGUGCCUUGCUCUGUGUAUUUGCAGCUGUUGCCACCAAGGAAAGGUGGUAUGGACCAAGCCGUCAGACAUCCGCCACAACCAAGGACAGCGGUGACGAUAGUGAGAAAAAAGCAUCAGUGUCACUGACUGUGGAGAACCAAAACGAAAUGGUGACGCUCAUGAACAAGGGUCAAGUCCAGACAAACGGCAGGACGGAUGAGUUCACUGUUAUUGCUUUGGAGGAGUCCCCAGAGAAAGAGUUCUUGGCAUGAGGGGGGAGCCACAGAGGCCGAGUUUAGUUCUUCUCUUUGAUGAAGCUGUAAUAAUGGUGCCCCCCCACCCCCACCCCCACCCCCACCCCAACCCCAACCCCC